CAUCUAUUUUCAUCACCUUUGGCCCAUCUGUCACCCAACCUUCAUAAUCCACUUUUCUUCCCUCCAUGACUUCACUAAAUAUGUGGCUGCUGUCCCCCAGAUAAGCCAUCUCAGGGCCUCUGAAACUGAAUCUCCUAACAUUCCUCCCUCUCAGUUGACUCUUAGAUGUGGAAUGUUGCAAAUGCAUCUAUUUAAGUGGGAUACUGGAUCUAUGCUGCAUAGAAAAUCUGUGAUCAAACAGAAUAGACUCUGUCUUUAAUCCAUUAUCCUCAUAGUUAAGAAUUACUAGCCUUUUACAUGGAUGUAGUCAAGUGGAGAGACCCACUGAUGGUAUAAGGAUCCCACCAGGAGAGAAGGUGCCUGACUGGUGCAGAAGACAAGAGGCCCCAUCCGGCUGGAAUAGUCCGAUCUUCUCUCUCCUGUUCAAGGAGUGUACUAGACAGCUAAGCCUUCCACCUUGGUGUUUUUGACUCAAUCCAGGAGAAUUUAUAUUCAACUUA